rnacentral:siRNA from 1 species
UCCCAACUACCUCGUAGCUCCAGC